rnacentral:rRNA from 1 species
UGGGGAAUUUUCCGCAAUGGGCGAAAGCCUGACGGAGCAAUGCCGCGUGGAGGUGGAAGGCCUACGGGUCGUCAACUUCUUUUCUCGGAGAAGAAACAAUGACGGCAUCUGAGGAAUAAGCAUCGGCUAACUCUGUGCCAG